rnacentral:lncRNA from 1 species
CUGGAAGUGGAACGCAAUAAAGAAGCUCACUCCUCGUGAGAAUGCACCGCUAGCACUGUCUCACAACAACCUGCUUGGAAACUGUGCAGUUCGCGGUCAGUCCCCUGAGAGCCAGCCUGAGCAGCACAGCGAGGUGAAGUCCCUGCCUGCCCUGUGACAAGGGCUGUCUUCCGGGAGCACCCUGCGCUUUCUCUCGUCUCUGAUCCAAAGUCUGUUCCUAAUGUGGUGUUUUUGUUCUUUGUACCAGGAGACUCAUUCUAUGCACAAAGCAUGUAGCUCAUUCUUUUUCUUCCUCUCUAAGAAGGGAAACAGAAUCUUUUCAGCCCUGCGAAGAAAGUUACUAGUUAUGGUAUUUACUUCAUGGACAGAGUAGCCUGGGGCUCCAGGUCACACCAAAUCCUCUUCUUAGUCGCAUGUUUCCAAUUAGAAUGAAAGAAAAAGCAACUAGAGAUGCCAUCCGCUACCUUGCUGAGAACACUCAGGGGCGGAGACGUGCAGAAUGGACAUCAAGUGUUAGAAUUCGACGGAGCUCUGAAAACUCGUCCUGACUUUGCAGACCUCAAAGUUGCCUCUCUGACCUUUCCUCCUGUCACCUCUCCUUGCUUGCACCUGUCGCCCCAGCACCCCUCUCCCCUGCUGCUCAGUUCUGCUAGGCGUCCCACUGGCAGAAUCUAAGACGAGUGAAGCGUGCUCGCUUUCACAUUUGGCUGAAGUAUCCGAAUCUUGACCAAUAAUCUGUGAUACUUUUGGAAGAUAUUCUGAAACAUUACUAAGAAGACCACCCUUCCAGAACUGAGGACGCUGCUCGGUGGUAAAGCACUUGCCGGGAAUGCACAAGACCCUGGGCUUCAUCAUGAGCGCCACCAGCAAAGGGUCGCCACCUUCCCAUCAUUAUGUCUCUAAAGAGCCAUGUGAAAGCAGCCUCAGGCAGGACCGAGGUGGAAUCGACACAGAAUGGAACACAGCUGGGCUGUACUGAGAGACGCACAGGUCGAGGCUUAGAGGCGGCUGAGUUCAAAUGCACUGUGGGAAUGAGAGCCGAUCCGGGACGGCAGGGUCCGUGCACGCAGGGGAAUCUGCACACGGACGGUGCACGAAGACCGUGUGAGCCCAGUCCCAGCUGCACGUCGGCCCGCCAUGGAAAAGCUUCCCGAGCCGAGCCUCAGCCUAGCACCCCUGUUCCAGGGCUCUCUCCUCCGGAGCUGUCACGGCCGGACUGGCAAAUCCAUCCCUCCUGGGGAGCUUUCUCCGUGUUUUUAAAAUCAUAUUCAUUUCUAUUUCAUUUAUGAAUUUUGUGUUUCUAAAAUACUCCUUUGUGAAAAGGAUUCAGCCUCUAAAACAUCAAAACAGAAAACAAAAAAGCAAACCCUGAAAGAGACAGCACUGCCGGCCCAGCCACCCUGGGACCUUCUCCUCCUCCCAGCCAGCACCAGGCUGGUGCCAACUGCAGCCCCGAGGAGAGGCAGGCAGACGCGUCCUGCCCCUGUUGUUUGUAGCAUUUACACAACAAACGUACAUUCAAAGCAUCACAGCAAAGCACUUACAUGGCAACUGAGAGCAGAUGUGUUUUACUCUUUCCAAGUCUUGAUUGUAAAGGUGAUUUAUACAAUCUCGAGGCCGUGUGUGUGAACUGUUCUGAAACACUUCAGCUCUGAGUGUGGCCUGGCCAGGGAGAUGAAUGCUCUUGGAGAGCACACACCGCCUCGCACCCACACAGAUUGUUCCUAGGGUUAUUGCUACACUCUGAGCACUUAGGGGGACAGAGGACUUGGAUGUUGCUCCUGCUCCAUGGCUUCUCUCUUCAGGUGUGAAAUAAGGUUCCGGAUUCAGGCCUGGGAGGAACUGCUGUGGACUGGCGUGGAGGAGGCGGGCUGCACUCAGUGCCCAGGGCCUCGCUCUCAGUCCCUGCACCCUCCCACCUGGGAGCGGCCCCUACUUCUCCCAUGAGACCCAGCUCCCCUGUGCCCCUGCCAACUGACCUGCACCAAUGCCGGGGUGCACAGCGGGGCCCAGCCGGGAGGAGUACCGGGCUACAGCCUCUCCUCACUGGUUUCUUAAAAUUCCCAUAAAGAAUAUACUUUUAAUUAUUAUGAAUUUUAUACCAUUCCAUGAAUGAUUAUAGGCUUCAGGAAAGUACAGUACCUACGUUAAAAAAUUACUGCUAGAAAUUAAUCCCCCUCCACCUGGGUUUCCAACACAGCGCUGGGGUUAGUGUUUCUCCCGUCUCCUCUUCCUCAAAGCUGUUUCUCAUCUGUUUCUACCUUUUAACCUCAGUCAUACUCACUGAAGCCUCCUAGUCUUUUAUUUCAUUUACCUUUUUAUCUUUUUUAAUGUUUUCUACUUGGUUGGGUUAAACCUUUCUUCAUAUUAACCUUUCUUCUAUUUUGUAGUUAUUUUCUUUUUUUAGGUUCUUACAUUAAAAGCAUAGAUCAAUUUUUUUCCAACUUCUUUCCAAAUAAAUAAUCUACAUGCAUGUAUUUUUUCUCAGUUUUGCCUCAGCCAUCCUCACAAGUUGUGUUAUUCAGCGCUUUCAUUUGUUACUCAGUGCCAGAUGGUUCACAAGUUCUAGACUGAUACUUGCUUUAGGGGUGUGUGUGUGUGUGCUUAAUUUCCUUGCGUGAAUUUUUGUAUGUAGUGGAAUGUCUACAGUUGCUGGUGAAUACGUAAUUGCAGCUGGUAUAUUCUCUCACCUUUAUGGAAUUUGCUGACAUCUCCACUGUGGUCUGGUGUAAGGCAAAUUUUUGUGGCUGUAGCCUGCUUGGAAAUGGUAUGGAGCUUUGUGUGCAUGAUACAGACUCCCUGACUUGGGCAGCCUUGGAAAGUGCACUGCACAAGUCCUCCACGUCCCUCCCUUCGAGCUGGUGUGGGUUCUUAGCAGUUUCUAGCGUGGAUUCCAGCCUCUCACGGUGAGCAUGAACUUGCCCUUUCACCUGCAGGGCUGCCGGAGUUUGCUCUGUGUGUCCCCCUUGGUGGAGCCCCAGGGAACCAUCUGUAGUUUCCCCUGGGCUCUGGGCUCCCCUUGUCCAUGCCUGAGAACACCGAGCAUCCCGUGACCCAGCCUCUGCUGGGGGACUCGGUCAAGCACCUUCUGCCUUUGUUGCUGUCUUUCCAAUUUGACCUUGGCCAUGAAAAUUUCUUUCCUGUCCAGUCCUCUGGGGAUCCAUAUCCUGAUGUUUGACAGCAGAGCAUUUCAGAUGUUCUUUUCUCAGCUUCUGUGAGCACUUGAUGGACGAAGAGGGAGGGAGGCUGUGCUGGUGGCCAACCUUUGGAUUCGCGCUGAGUUAUUCCGCCAGGCCUCUCUGGCUCCCUCUCCCACCUCCCUCCUUCUGACCUUGCCUCUCCCUGUCCUGACUUUUCAACCCCACACCCCAGGCUUGCCUAAGUUUCUCCAUGCAGAAAGCUCUUUCCUGAUGCAGGACUUUUACACAUGCCUCGCCGGGCUGUAAUCGGCAUUCCCCCACUCCACCUGUGAAGCCCAGCAACCCUUCGGGAGUUAGACUGUGUGCCCCUACACAGCCCCUGCGUGGACAGCCUAGUGUAAGGCAGGCCUUUCUGUUCUACUCUCAGGCAGUUAUGUACUGUUGUCAGUAAAGCACCUUUCAUAAGCGUGUGUUUAUUCGUCUACUUGCUCACUUAUUUAUUAUGUGUUUAACAGUUUUAAACCCUCGCUGUGUUCCUCACAGUGUCCUCAUUGCUGAGAGAAGCAGGGCAGAGACGGUUUGGAACAGAACUGUUGAAUGUGUCCAUGAAUACUAGUCCCAGUAGUGGCACAUUUUAAAUCUAGGUUAGAAAGAGCUCAAGCAUAAGGUUAAAAUUCCACAUAAACAUGACAUUGAAAAGUUGUACCUAUUCUGAAAACUAGGAAAAUUAGAAUAGCUACAUGUUACAAAGCACCAGGCACUCCGUAUUCACUGUGGCUAACCUUUACAGAUGGAUAAGGCGCAGGUCAGGGAGGUCAAGAAACUUAUCCAAGAUCCAGUUAUGAAUAAUUGCAGAGCUAGGAUUCAGAGCUGGAUGUGUUUGUUCCCAGAGUUUGUCUCUUCUUUACUCUUGGUGCUACUAUGUGCUAUUAAUUUUCUUUAAAGAGUAAUUUAUUUUAAGGAAACUAAGGAGAGAUUUUUAGCUUUGAACUUGCUCUAGAGUAAGACAAAAAUAAAAUCUAGUUAACAAUUUAAAUUUUUGUCAAUUUUAUUCAACUGAAGAAACAUUCAAAGAAUCUCUUCAUACUAGGUCUUUAGCAUCCAUGGGCAGAACUUCUCUAACUGGGUUCUAUUGAAUUUGGUUUAUCACAAUAAAUAAGCAUGACCAUGAGAAGUGAUGGGGAUGUAAGCAUCAAUUUUUAUUUCUUCAUUAAGACUACUUAAGUUGGCUCUGUUUACCACUCUCUUCAGACCCAUUCUACCGUAUAUUAAGAUAAAGACUCAAGUUACCUUGGGCUUUUCCCUUACUUCAUAUAAAGUUGAAAAAAACGGACUUUUGAUCAAAGAUCUGCAUAAUUAAUUCAAGCUGUGACUUGUCUGAUGGAGCAAUUGGACAUUAUAAAAUCAAACAGAUUGCCAUCUUUGCUGACACUGUAAGACAGAAAUGGGAAAAUCAAUGUUUCUUUUUAAGACCUUUCAUUACCUGCCUAAUAGUCUAAAUGUGUCUUGUAAGGAGAUGAACACUGUGUGUGUUUGUGUGUGUUACAUUAUUAUCACUCCUUAAGGAGUUUAUUUCGUUUCUGUAGCUGAAUACUAGAGCAAACAAUUUAGGUAGUUUUAAAAUAAGUAGUUUUAUAAGGGAAGAAAAAAAGGAAAACUAUAGAAGCCUAGAACCUACUGGAUUAUAAACAUUCAGAAAGAACAGCCUGGGUAACAUUUAAUGCAUGAACCGGAAAUGUGUCUAUUUCUAUAAGAAAAAUGUCUAAUGAUAAGCCAUGAAAUAGAUGCAUAGAAGGAGACAGAAAAUGAAUAAACAUACUGUUGUCAAGGUCUCGUGUACAAAUCAACAACAAUGGCUCAUUUACUGUAAUAAUAGCAUUGGCAGAAGGUCACAAUGUAAGAAUUAAUAGUUGUUCUGGACUUAAUAAUUUUCCUCAGAUUGAAUUAAAAUGGUUUCUAUUUUGUCUUUCCAAAUUAGUAAUUGUGGAAAGCUUUUUACUUGAUUUUUUUCUUACUUUUGGAGAUACUAAUUUCCGGUAUAAAGAAGGCCAUCUUAUCUCCCUGAUGCUGUGCAUAUAUGAAAAAG